CAUUGUGUUUUCUAGGCAACGAUAAAAAGAAUCCUUGCUCUGUGUGUGUGCCUUUAGGUAUAUGUGUCAUUUAUUGGGCGUUUAUGAUGAAGCUGGAUGUCCCCUCCUGUCCAGCACCGGAAAAACCUUCAGGAGUUCUUCGUGAGCUCCAGGUCCAGCUCUCUGGUGACAGUUUCCAGAUCCUGGUUAUCCCUGGACUGGGGCUG